rnacentral:sRNA from 1 species
AAGCAGCGAAGCGAUUCACCUCCUUUCGAACCGCUUCGGUUCGACGGACAGCAUUCCUCCUCCCCAGCUGUCGGUCACUAAUUGAACCCGGCGCACUUCCUCCCGCGCCGGGUUUUUUGU